ACGCGGGGUGGAGCAGCCUGGUAGCUCGUCGGGCUCAUAACCCGAAGGUCGUCGGUUCGAAUCCGGCCCCCGCANN
rnacentral:tRNA from 1 species